UGGUGGAGUGAUUUGUCUGGUUAAUUCCGUUAACGAACGAGACCUUAACCUACUAAAUAGCUACACAAAGCGUGAGCUGGGUGUUAGCUUCUUAGAGGGACUUUGCGUGUCUAACGCAAGGAAGUUUGAGGCAAUAACA
rnacentral:rRNA from 1 species